rnacentral:rRNA from 1 species
GCUGUUUCGCUGACGAGUGGCGGACGGGUGAGUAAUGUCUGGGAAACUGCCUGAUGGAGGGGGAUAACUACUGGAAACGGUAGCUAAUACCGCAUAACGUCGCAAGACCAAAGAGGGGGACCUUCGGGCCUCUUGCCAUCGGAUGUGCCCAGAUGGGAUUAGCUAGUAGGUGGGGUAACGGCUCACCUAGGCGACGAUCCCUAGCUGGUCUGAGAGGAUGACCAGCCACACUGGAACUGAGACACGGUCCAGACUCCUACGGGAGGCAGCAGUGGGGAAUAUUGCACAAUGGGCGCAAGCCUGAUGCAGCCAUGCCGCGUGUAUGAAGAAGGCCUUCGGGUUGUAAAGUACUUUCAGCGGGGAGGAAGGGAGUAAAGUUAAUACCUUUGCUCAUUGACGUUACCCGCAGAAGAAGCACCGGCUAACUCCGUGCCAGCAGCCGCGGUAAUACGGAGGGUGCAAGCGUUAAUCGGAAUUACUGGGCGUAAAGCGCACGCAGGCGGUUUGUUAAGUCAGAUGUGAAAUCCCC